GCAGGAAUGGUGAAAUGGUAAACACGGCUGAUUUAGAAUCAGUUUCCUGAGAGUUCGAGUCUCUCUUCCUGUAC
rnacentral:tRNA from 1 species